rnacentral:rRNA from 1 species
GUGGGGAAUAUUGCGCAAUGGACGAAAGUCUGACGCAGCGACGCCGCGUGAGUGAUGAAGGCCUUAGGGUCGUAAAGCUCUGUUGAAUGGGAAGAAAAAAAUGACGGUACCAUUCGAGGAAGGACCGGCUAACUUCGUGCCAGCAGCCGCGGUAAUACGAGGGGUCCUAGCGUUGUUCGGAAUCAUUGGGCGUAAAGGGUGUGUAGGUGGCCAUGUAAGUCAGGUGUGAAAGCCCCGGGCUCAAACCGGGAAGUGCACUUGAUACUGCGUGGCUUGAGUACCGAAGAGGGUAGUGGAAUUCCAGGUGUAGUGGUGAAAUACGUAGAUAUCUGGAGGAACACCGGUGGCGAAGGCGGCUACCUGGUCGAGUACUGACACUGAGACACGAAAGCAUGGGGAUCAAACAGGAUUAGAAACCCGGGUAGUCC